AGACGUGGAAAAUUAUUAUAAUUAUUGAAAGAAUUAUUACCUUGAUAAUUACCUGAGUAGUUAGGCCUCUGUUGAUUCCAACCUUGAUUUUGUUGAGGACGGUUGUAGUAGUUGUUGUUGUUAUUGUUGAUGUAGUUCACAUCCUCAAGCAUCUCAGGGCAGUGGUUGCCUGAGUGUCCAGUGUCUCCACACUCCUCAUAAGUCAUGUGAGAGUCAUAGAUGUGCAUAACUUCUUUCUUGUCUCCAGCUCUAUCGUCGAGCUUCUUCAUGAGCAGGUCUAGCUUUG
rnacentral:lncRNA from 1 species